GGGGAUAGUGGUGUAAUUGGUAACAUAUUUCCUUUGCAAGGAAAUGUUUAGAGUUCGAGUCUCUCUGUCUCCA
rnacentral:tRNA from 1 species